CAGAAGAUUGUGGCGACCAGGAAGAAGCAGCAGCUGUCCAUUGGUCCGUGCAAGUCCCUCCCCAACUCACCUAGCCACUCCUCUGUGUGUUCUGCACAGGUGGCAGCAGCAGUUCACAUCAGCCAGCAGACCAGUAAUGGCGGCAGCCUGAGUGACUACUCCUCGUCAGUCCCCUCCACCCCCAGCACCAGUCAGAAGGAGCUACGCAUCGACGUCCCCCAGACCACCAACACCCCCACGCCCGUCCGCAAGCAGUCCAAACGCCGCUCCAACCUCUUCACUUCUCGGAAGGCCAGCGAGCCAGACAGGGACAAGAAAGGACUGGAGGGCCGAGCGGACAGCAUUGGAAGCGGCCGUGCUAUUCCAAUUA